CCGUGGUAUCUGGCAAUCAGUAUAAAAAGGCAUCCUUGAAAUUGAAUUAUUUCUAGGGCUGCUAUUUGCAAGAGCAUCUGGAUGCUUGGGUAAAAAAGACGUAAAAUGAACAUUGCUUAGAUAUUGCAGUGCUUAUUAAAAGAUAAUUGCUUUCUAGGGAUGUGUUUCUGGUUGACAUCUUCUUGAGAAAUCUUCAGAAGACAAUAGAUGUAGAGAAUGUGUGACACAACAUUUCCUUGCAGUCCACCCUUGCAUGUAGCGAGAGUACUGUUUUAGGUUACCAAUUCCAACUAGUUUCCUUGGAAUUUGGAGUUCAGUUUACAUUCAUGAGUGCCAAAAGCUAUCCUGAGGAAUCAAAAUAAAGGAGUAGCCAGACUUGAAAGCUGUCUCAGAAACUAAACAGAAAAUAUUAAGCAUACCUAUGGCUUCUGCUUGUGUCAUUUGCUAUUAUCAAACUCACAUGGCCUCUGGUUUUGAAAUCUCAGGAGAACUUUUCCUCUGUAGAGUGGUACCUUGAAAUGUAAAUGUGUUUUCUGAAAUGCAUUUUGUUUUCAUUUCUGAGAUACUCUUGAGCUUAUAUUUAUUUAUUUCUGCUUUCAAAACAAACAAACAAAAACUGUGGAAAACAAACAUGAUCUUUGUCCUUACAGUAACAGUUUAAGAAGGAAAGAAAGAAACCAGCCAACAGGGAAACUUUUCCAUAACUACAGAGCUGAAGUAAAUGCCAUAGUGCCCAUUCAGAAAUGAAAAGUUUUGAAGGCAUUAUGAGAUAAAAUGCCUUUUUUUUUUUUUCUGGUACACUUCAAAAGUGCAGUGGUCCCCACACUAAAACGGGGCCAAAUGGCAGCAAGUGUGUGUGUUGCACAUCAGCUCCUUUCCAGGGACACACAGAGCACAAGUGGACCUGGUCCUCACAAAGGGGCAGGAGGCUCUGCCUUACUGAAGCACUUAGAUGCUGUGAAGGCAGCAGUCAGUGUAUACUAAUGACACAAUUCACUUGAAGGGUUUGGUUUUGAGCAGAUCUGGGAGUAGUUGGCCAGCUCAUUACAUGGGAACUGCACUGCACUGUGGGCAUCCCUAAAAGACCAGUAAGGUUUCAAACUUUAAAAAGCCACGUGCUAUUAGAAAACAAGGCAUGACUGUUAACAUUUCAUAUAGAGAAAACACUCUUGACUGGGGAAGAGGUAACAAAAAAAAAAGGUUCAUAAGUCUCUUUGCCUUUGGAAGGACUGAUUCCUUCUUCUUUGAUUUCAGUCAACUCAGUAGGUUUUUGAGUUGCAGUAAACUCUAUCUGUUCUUCUGUGGUCCAUAGGAAGAUGAUCUCUAUGACCUCUAAACUGACUUCUUAUCUCUGCCUCUUUUCAGCAACUUCUUUGCUAAAGUCUCCCCUUCCACUCCCUUGCUGCUCCCACCUCUAUGGCACUCUCAGGUCUUUCUCCGUGCAGCUCGCUUGCCUCUCAGAGGGGAAUCAUCCUCAUUCCUUCC
ensembl:lncRNA